rnacentral:rRNA from 1 species
UAAUACAGAGGGUGCAAGCGUUGCUCGGAUUUAUUGGGCGUAAAGCGCACGCAGACGGUAUGGAAGGUCGGACCGUGAAAUCCCCUGGGGCUCAACCUAGGAACUGCGGUUCGAAACCACCAAACUAGAGUUCGGAAGAGGGAGGCGGAAUUCCUGGUGUAGAGGUGAAAUUCGUAGAUAUCAGGAGGAACACCAGCGGCGAAGGCGGCUUCCUGGUCCGAUACUGACGUUCAGGUGCGAAAGCGUGGGUAGCAAACAGGAUUAGAUACCCCUGGUAGUCCACGCUGUAAACGAUGAGUGCUAGAUGUUGGGGGUAUUCACUCCCUCGGUAUCGAAGCUAACGCGCUAAGCACUCCGCCUGGGGAGUACGGCCGCAAAGGUUGAAACUCAAAGGAAUUGACGGGGGCCCGCACAAGCGGUGGAGUAUGUGGUUUAAUUCGACGCAACGCGCAGAACCUUACCCAGCCUUGACAUCCCCUGGAAUCCGGUGGAAACAUCGGAGUGUCCUCGCAAGAGGAAGCCAGGAGAC